CGGGAUGUGGAAAAGUUUGGAGUUCUCGCUUGCUUGGGAGCAAGAGAACGCAGGUUCAAGUCCUGCCAUUCCGA
rnacentral:tRNA from 2 species